rnacentral:lncRNA from 1 species
UUAAAGGGACACUGUAGUCACCUGAACAACUUUAGCUUAAUGAAGCAGUUUUGGUGUAUGGAACAUGCCCCUGCAGCCUCACUGCUCAAUCCUCUGCCAUUUAGGAGUUAAAUCCCUUUGUUUAUGAACCCUAGUCACACCUCCCUGCAUGUGACUUGCACAGCCUUCCAUAAACACUUCCUGUAAAGAGAGCCCUGUUUAGGCUUUCUUUAUUGCAAGUUCUGUUUAAUUAAGAUUUUCUUAUCCCCUGCUAUGUUAAUAGCUUGCUAGACCCUGCAAGAGCCUUCUGUAUGUGAUUAAAG